GGCGGGGGUUCGAAAAAAGAUAUAAAAAAAUAAAUAAAGUAAACAGUAGAAUUGCUGAAUGUAUAUCGUUUCCAGUGAUCACACUAGCAAACCUCACCAAUAUGAGAUUGCUCAAGCCUUCGUGGGUCACACAUGACGGUAAACCAAUAUUUUCCAUUGACAUUCACCCAGAUGGUUCAAGAUUUGCAACGGGUGGUCAGGGAGAUGAUUCAGGAAAGGUUGUCAUCUGGAAUUUUGAACCUGUCAGAGAUGAAAAAGCAGAGAAUGAUGAAAAUGUA